rnacentral:rRNA from 1 species
UACGGAGGGGGCUAGCGUUGUUCGGAAUUACUGGGCGUAAAGCGGGUGUAGGCGGAUUGCUAAGUCGGGGGUGAAAGCCCAGGGCUCAACCCUGGAAUUGCCUUCGAUACUGGCAGUCACGAGUGCAGGAGAGGUGAGCGGAAUUCCGAGUGUAGAGGUGAAAUUCGUAGAUAUUCGGAGGAACACCAGAGGCGAAGGCGGCUCACGGGACUGUUACUGACGCUGAGACCAGAAAGCGUGGGGAGCAAACAGG